AAAAAUCGUUUUGAUUGGGAAAGAAGCCAAACAAUACCUUAAGUUGAACUAAGAUAUUUUCAUGUUGAAAUAGAAACACUUAGUAACAGAGGAAUGGAACGUCUCUCUUUUUCAUUAUUUUCAUUUCAUCAUCUUCUUACUUCCACCUUAACAUUUCUCUUCACCACUUCCUCAUCUCCAUAAAAAAAACUCAUCAAUCAUCAUAGUCUCC
rnacentral:lncRNA from 1 species